rnacentral:rRNA from 1 species
UGGGGAAUAUUGGACAAUGGGCGCAAGCCUGAUCCAGCCAUGCCGCGUGAGUGAUGAAGGCCCUAGGGUUGUAAAGCUCUUUCACCGGUGAAGAUAAUGACGGUAACCGGAGAAGAAGCCCCGGCUAACUUCGUGCCAGCAGCCGCGGUAAUACGAAGGGGGCUAGCGUUGUUCGGAUUUACUGGGCGUAAAGCGCACGUAGGCGGACUUUUAAGUAAGGGGUGAAAUCCCGGGGCUCAACCCCGGAACUGCCUUUGAUACUGGAAGUCUUGAGUAUGGUAGAGGUGAGUGGAAUUCCGGGUGUAGAGGUGAAAUUCGUAGAUAUUCGGAGGAACACCAGUGGCGAAGGCGGCUCACUGGACAAUUACUGACGCUGAGGUGCGAAAGCGUGGGGAGCAAACAGG